AUAGAGGAGGCGACGCCUUGAACUUUUAUUUCCAUUAUCCAUGUGGAAUGUUUGGGAUCGAUGUAUGCCGGGGAUUGCUGAUACUACAAAUAGUUUAGAAGUGUACCACACCGCGCUGAAAACACAGUGAAUAUUAAUCAUUGAAAUAUUUGGAAACUUAUUGAUGUGAUUAAAUGUGAGGAAAGUUUUGCCAGUACCAAAUUACAGAGGUUUAUGCAAGGAGAAUAACCAAUCUCCCACCACCACAUAAAAUAAAGAUAUAAAAAAUGUCACUGAAAAAUAUGAUCCAAACCAAAAAAUUAUUUUUCUAAAAGCAUUUGCAGACAAUCUAAAAUUUUAAGAAAAAAGAAAUAUGUAAUACAGUAACGAAUUGACUGAUGACGAAUUGACAUGGGGAUGAAUUGACCAACGACGAAUUGACUGGAGACAAAUUAAACGACGACAAAUUGUCGUCGACGAAUUGACCGGACACCCUACAAACACACAAACGCCAACAAUGCAAAUCGCAAUCAACACAAACAAUUUGGAGCUGAUGCAAUACAUUUGGUCUCACACUGACUUAAGAGAAAACAGUUUUAAAACAAACACCCACGCACAAAACCACCACAACACAUAAAAAUAGUAUACGGCAGGAAACACACAUAAUUUAGUGAAAUCUCUGUAUCCUAAUGCAGUAGAGAGAUUUCAAAAACACUUGUCUAAAAAAUCUAUGAAAACCUCCUCAUGGAAACUUUUGAAGAGGACAGUAUCCAACUUUCGAACAAUAAUGCUACAACAGAGGGGCCUUAUCAUAUACUGCAGAAUAUGUUAGACCUGAAAAUUUUAUAUAAUAAUGACUACAGGAUAACUUUCUAGGUUUUGAUUAAACCUGACUAGUUAUAUUCUGAUGUCUUCAUCUUUAUCGACUACUUCACGACCGGUGACCCGUCGGGUCACCGGUAGUGAAUUGCUUGGAUCACUGGUUUGGCAAGAUUCAAGCUCACUUUUAAUACUAUUUACAAAGAGCAAUAUGUUGACUGUUUUUUCUUGAUGAUAAUGAUCUUGAAAGUACAACCAAAUCUUUAACCCGUGUAUGUACAAGCUCCAGUUCUAAAAUGUCUAUUCCUCAUCAGUGAAAAGCAAAUAAUAAAUCAAUAAAUAAUUAAAGUUCACGUGAAAUUAUUUGAAGUAAAAUAAACAGGUAAUUUUCAGGUUGUUGAUAUAUAAACUGAACUAUUUUGACAAUAUCCAACUGAAAUUGUUUUUCUUAAAUGCAUCAGAUAUGCCAAUUUAUCUAUGUUCUUUCGAAGUGAAAUAAAUUUAAGUUUGAAAACUA